GCGCAGCAGGCGAGAAUUUUUCUCAAUGGGGGCAACCCUGAAGGAGCGACGCCGCGUGGAGGAUGAAGGCUUUCGGGUUGUAAACUCCUGUCAUUUGAGAACAAGGCUUACUAGUUAACUGCUAGUAAGUUGAUAGUAUCAGAAGAGGAAGAAACGGCUAACUCUGUGCCAGCAGCCGCGGUAAUACAGAGGUCUCAAGCGUUGUUCGGAUUCAUUGGGCGUAAAGGGUGCGUAGGUGGCGCGCUAAGUCAGGUGUGAAAUCUCGGGGCUUAACUCCGAAACUGCAUUUGAUACUGGCGUGCUUGAGGACUGGAGAGGAGACUGGAAUUCAUGGUGUAGCAGUGAAAUGCGUAGAGAUCAUGAGGAAGACCAGUGGCGAAGGCGGGUCUCUGGACAGUUCCUGACACUGAGGCACGAAGGCCAGGGGAGCAAACGGGAUUAGAUACCCGUGUAGU
rnacentral:rRNA from 1 species